AUUGAACGCUGGCGGCAGGCCUAACACAUGCAAGUCGAACGAGUGGCGGACGGGUGAGUAAUGUCUGUGAAACUGUCCGAUGGAGGGGGGUAACUACUGGAAACGGUAUCUCAUACCGCAUACCCUCGGAUGUGCCCAGAUGGGAUGAGCUAGUAGGUGGGGUAAAGGCUCACCUGGGCGACGAUCCCUAGCUGGUCUGAGAGGAUGACCAGCCACACUGGAACUGAGACACGGUCCAGACUCCUACGGGAGGCAGCAGUGGGGAAUAUUGCACAAUGGGCGCAAGCCUGAUGCAGCCAUGCCGCGUGUAUGAAGAAGGCCUUCGGGUUGUAAAGUACUUUCAGCGAGGAGGCGUUACUCGCAGAAGAAGCACCGGCUAACUCCGUGCCAGCAGCCGCGGUAAUAC
rnacentral:rRNA from 1 species